AAGGCAAGCAAUGCACCGAUCAUGCUGAAAAAAACACGAGGUGCAUACAUGGUGCUCUCCUCCCGAGAACGAUUUCUCCGUUUUUGGCUGCGCU
rnacentral:ncRNA from 1 species